rnacentral:rRNA from 1 species
AUCUCCUAGUAAAAAAGCUAGAAUAACAACAUAAGACCAGAAGACCCUGUGAAGCUUUAAUUAAACUAUUAAAUCCCAUAAUAACUAUUUUAGGUUGGGGCGACCUUGGAAAAAAAAAGAACUUCCAAGACCCAGCACAGCUGAUAAUUGAACUAAGUUACUCCAGGGAUAACAGCGCAAUCUUCUUCAAGAGCCCUUAUCAAAAAGAAGGUUUACGACCUCGAUGUUGGAUCAGGACAUCCUAAUGGUGCAGCCGCUAUUAAGGGUUCGUUUGUUCAACGAUUAACAGUCCUACGUGAUCUGA